rnacentral:rRNA from 1 species
CCUACGGGAGGCUGCAGUGGGGAAUAUUGCACAAUGGGGGAAACCCUGAUGCAGCGACGCCGCGUGAGCGAUGAAGUAUUUCGGUAUGUAAAGCUCUAUCAGCAGGGAAGAAGAUGACGGUACCUGACUAAGAAGCCCCGGCUAACUACGUGCCAGCAGCCGCGGUAAUACGUAGGGGGCAAGCGUUAUCCGGAUUUACUGGGUGUAAAGGGAGCGUAGACGGCGAUGCAAGCCAGAUGUGAAAGCCCGGGGCUCAACCCCGGACCUGCAUUUGAAACUGUUGGUCUUGAGUAUCGGAGAGGCAGGCGGAAUUCCUAGUGUAGCGGUGAAAUGCGUAGAUAUUAGGAGGAACACCAGUGGUGAAGGCGGCCUGCUGGACGACAACUGACGGUGAGGCGCGAAAGCGUGGGGAGCAAACAGGAUUAGAUACCCUAGUAGUC